rnacentral:rRNA from 1 species
UUCCCCUUCGGGGGACAAAGUGACAGGUGGUGCAUGGUUGUCGUCAGCUCGUGUCGUGAGAUGUUGGGUUAAGUCCCGCAACGAGCGCAACCCUUAAGCUUAGUUGCCAUCAUUAAGUUGGGCACUCUAAGUUGACUGCCGGUGACAAACCGGAGGAAGGUGGGGAUGACGUCAAAUCAUCAUGCCCCUUAUGAUUUGGGCUACACACGUGCUACAAUGGACAAUACAAAGGGCAGCUAAACCGCGAGGUCAAGCAAAUCCCAUAAAGUUGUUCUCAGUUCGGAUUGUAGUCUGCAACUCGACUACAUGAAGCUGGAAUCGCUAGUAAUCGUAGAUCAGCAUGCUACGGUGAAUACGUUCCCGGGUCUUGUACACACCGCCCGUCACACCACGAGAGUUUGUAACACCCGAAGCCGGUGGAGUAACCAUUUAUGGAGCUAGCCGUCGAAGGUGGGACAAAUGAUUGGGGUGAAGUCGUAACAAGGUAGCCGUAUCGGAAGGUGCGGCUGGAUCACCUCCUUUCUAAGGA